AUUGAACGCUGGCGGCAGGCCUAACACAUGCAAGUCGAGCGAGCGGCGGACGGGUGAGUAAUGCCUGGGAAUUGCCCAGUCGAGCGGGAUAACAGUUGGAAACGACUGCUAAUACCGCAUACGAUUGGAGUGACCAGGUGGGAUGAGCUAGUUGGUGGGGUAAUGGCUCCCCAAGGCGACGAUACCUCGCGGGUCUGAGAGGAUGAUCAGCCACACUGGAACUGAGACACGGUCCAGACUCCUACGGGAGGCAGCAGUGGGGAAUAUUGCACAAUGGGGGAAACCCUGAUCCAGCCAUGCCGCGUGUGUGAAGAAGGCCUUCGGGUUGUAAAGCACUUUCGGCGAGGAGGCGUUACUCGCAGAAGAAGCACCGGCUAACUCCGUGCCAGCAGCCGCGGUAAUUC
rnacentral:rRNA from 1 species